GCCAAUAGGGCUGCUCUUGCAGGCUACUUUGAUAUAGUAGUGUUAAAAUUUUAUUUCGUUGGUA
rnacentral:tRNA from 1 species